UCUAAUACUGGAUAUGACUGCCGGCCGCAUGGUCUGGUGGUGGAAAGAUUUUUUGGUUGGGGAUGGACUCGCGGCCUAUCAGCUUGUUGGUGAGGUAAUGGCUCACCAAGGCGACGACGGGUAGCCGGCCUGAGAGGGUGACCGGCCACACUGGGACUGAGACACGGCCCAGACUCCUACGGGAGGCAGCAGUGGGGAAUAUUGCACAAUGGGCGAAAGCCUGAUGCAGCAACGCCGCGUGAGGGAUGACGGCCUUCGGGUUGUAAACCUCUUUUAGUAGGGAAGAAGCGAAAGUGACGGUACCUGCAGAAAAAGCACCGGCUAACUACGUGCCAGCAGCCGCGGUAAUACGUAGGGUGCAAGCGUUGUCCGGAAUUAUUGGGCGUAAAGAGCUCGUAGGCGGUUUGUCGCGUCUGCUGUGAAAUCCCGAGGCUCAACCUCGGGCUUGCAGUGGGUACGGGCAGACUAGAGUGCGGUAGGGGAGAUUGGAAUUCCUGGUGUAGCGGUGGAAUGCGCAGAUAUCAGGAGGAACACCGAUGGCGAAGGCAGAUCUCUGGGCCGUAACUGACGCUGAGGAGCGAAAGCGUGGGGAGCGAACAGGAUUAGAUACCCUGGUAGUCCAC
rnacentral:rRNA from 2 species